rnacentral:lncRNA from 1 species
UUUUGUGGUUGACCUAGAAAUGCUGCAAAUUCUUCAAUUCUUGGCUAUGACUUAGGACAGGCGUAGUUGUACUAUGAAUGUACUCCCAACAUCUGUUCUGAAGCUAGAGAACUUGCCUUUCCACCUUCGAAAAAUAAAUUUUGCCAAAUACUAGUACAAUUGUACUUGCCAUGGGGAUGAUAUUUUACUGGAGAUAUUAUGGAGCAUACUACCCCUCAAC